AUGGCUCAGGAUGAACGCUAGCGACAGGCCUAACACAUGCAAGUCGAGGGGCAUCGGGGCGAGGAGCAAUCCUUGCCGCCGGCGACCGGCGCACGGGUGAGUAACGCGUAUGCGACCUGCCCGUUGCAGGGGGAUAAUCGGGAGAAAUCCCGUCUAAUACCGCGUAACGCCGCGGGGCUGCAUGGCCCUGCGGCCAAAGGGAGCGAUUCCGGCAACGGAUGGGCAUGCGUGACAUUAGCUAGUUGGCGGGGCAACGGCCCACCAAGGCGACGAUGUCUAGGGGUUCUGAGAGGAAGGUCCCCCACACUGGUACUGAGACACGGACCAGACUCCUACGGGAGGCAGCAGUGAGGAAUAUUGGUCAAUGGGCGCGAGCCUGAACCAGCCAAGUCGCGUGAGGGAUGACGGCCCUACGGGUAGUAAACCUCUUUUGUCGGGGAGCAAAUUCCGCCACGUGUGGCGGAGUCGAGAGUACCCGAAGAAAAAGCAUCGGCUAACUCCGUGCCAGCAGCCGCGGUAAUACGGAGGAUGCGAGCGUUAUCCGGAUUUAUUGGGUUUAAAGGGUGCGUAGGCGGACUGUCAAGUCAGCGGUAAAAUACGGGGGCUCAACCUCCGCCCGCCGUUGAAACUGACGGUCUUGAGUGGGCGAGAAGUAUGCGGAAUGCGUGGUGUAGCGGUGAAAUGCAUAGAUAUCACGCAGAACUCCGAUUGCGAAGGCAGCAUACCGGCGCCCAACUGACGCUGAAGCACGAAAGCGUGGGUAUCGAACAGGAUUAGAUACCCUGGUAGUCCACGCAGUAAACGAUGAAUACUAGCUGUCCGGGGCGAAUGAGCCCUGGGUGGCACAGCGAAAGCGUUAAGUAUUGCACCUGGGGAGUACGCCGGCAACGGUGAAACUCAAAGGAAUUGACGGGGGCCCGCACAAGCGGAGGAACAUGUGGUUUAAUUCGAUGAUACGCGAGGAACCUUACCCGGGCUCAAACGACACAGGAACGUACCUGAAAGGGUUCGGCUCUACGGAGCCUGUGUCGAGGUGCUGCAUGGUUGUCGUCAGCUCGUGCCGUGAGGUGUCGGCUUAAGUGCCAUAACGAGCGCAACCCCCAUCGACAGUUGCUAACAGGUUAGGCUGAGGACUCUGUCGAGACUGCCGGCGCAAGCUGCGAGGAAGGCGGGGAUGACGUCAAAUCAGCACGGCCCUUACGUCCGGGGCGACACACGUGUUACAAUGGCAGGUACAGCGGGAAGCCACCUGGCGACAGGGAGCGGAACCCGAAAGCCUGUCUCAGUUCGGAUUGGAGUCUGCAACCCGACUCCAUGAAGCCGGAUUCGCUAGUAAUCGCGCAUCAGCCACGGCGCGGUGAAUACGUUCCCGGGCCUUGUACACACCGCCCGUCAAGCCAUGGAAGCCGGGGGUGCCUGAAGUGCGCUGCCGCGAGGAGCGCCCUAGGGUAAAACCGGUGACUGGGGCUAAGUCGUAACAAGGUA
rnacentral:rRNA from 1 species